GGUGAUAUAGCUUAGCUUGGUUAGAGCACAGCACUCAUAACGCUGAGGUCGGUGGUUCAAAUCCACCUAUCACUA
rfam:Candidatus Profftella armatura, complete genome.